GUGUCAGCCGCCGCGGUAAUACGUAGGGGGCAAGCGUUGUCCGGAUUUACUGGGUGUAAAGGGCGCGCAGGCGGGUUUGUAAGUCAGUGGUGAAAUCCUGCAGCUUAACUGCAGAACUGCCUUUGAUACUGCAAAUCUUGAGUGCGGAAGAGAGAGACGGAAUUCCAGGUGUAGUGGUGAAAUACGUAGAUAUCUGGAAGAACACCAGUUGCGAAGGCGGUCUCUUGGUCCGUAACUGACGCUCAGGCGCGAAAGCGUGGGUAGCAAACAGGAUUAGAUACCCCCGUAGUCC
rnacentral:rRNA from 1 species